AUCCAGCUGACGAAUCCCAAACUGGACGAAACGCGCGUCAAGCUAGAU
rfam:Schistosoma haematobium scaffold273_17, whole genome shotgun sequence.